rnacentral:rRNA from 1 species
UACGUAGGGGGCUAGCGUUGUCCGGAAUCAUUGGGCGUAAAGCGCGCGUAGGCGGCCCGGUAAGUCCGCUGUAAAAGUCAAAAGGCUCAACCUUUGAAUGUCAGUGGAUACUGCCGGGCUAGAGUCCGGAAGAGGCGAGUGGAACUCCUGGUGUAGCGGUGGAAUGCGCAGAUAUCAGGAAGAACACCGACGGCGAAGGCAGCUCGCUGGGGGUGUGCUGACGCUGAGACACGAAAGCCAGGGGAGCGAACGGG